GAUGAACGCUGGCGGCGUGCUUAACACAUGCAAGUCGAACGAAGCACUGUAUUUGAUUUCCUUCGGGACUGAGUAUUUUGUGACUGAGUGGCGGACGGGUGAGUAACGCGUGGGUAACCUGCCUUUUACAGGGGGAUAACAGAUGGAAACGGCUGCUAAUACCGCAUAAGCGCACAGCAUCGCAUGAUGCAGUGUGAAAAACUCCGGUGGUAUAAGAUGGACCUGCGUUGGAUUAGCAAGUUGGUGAGGUAACGGGCCACCAAGGCGACGAUCCAUAGACGAGAUGAGAGGGUGAGCGGCCACAUUGGGACUGAGACACGGCCCAAACUCCUCCGGGAGGCAGCAGUGGGGAAUAUUGCACAAUGGGCGAAAGCAUGAUGGAGCGACGCCGCGUGAGCGAAGAAGUAUUGCGGUAUGUAAAGCUCUAGCAGCAGGGAAGAUAAUGACGGUACCUGACCAGGAAGCAACGGCUAACUAGGUG
rnacentral:rRNA from 1 species